rnacentral:piRNA from 1 species
UGAGACGUGCCAAAACGCAGUGAGUGA